CACAUAUAAGAAGUUGCAAAUGGACGGGGAUUCGUUUAGAUUUAUUAAAAAAAAUUUAGGACUUGUAUGCAAGCCGUGAGUCCGCCCUAUCAACUGUCGAUGACCCGGUAAGCGCCGACCGUAGUGGAAACGGAUAACGGGGAAUCAGGGUUCAAUUCCGGAGAGGGAGCAUGCGAAACGGCUACUACAUCCAAGGAAGGCAG
rnacentral:rRNA from 1 species